GACGAACGCUGGCGGCGUGCCUAAUACAUGCAAGUCGAACGCUUUUUCUUUCACCGGAGCUUGCUCCACCGAAAGAAAAAGAGUGGCGAACGGGUGAGUAACACGUGGGUAACCUGCCCAUCAGAAGGGGAUAACACUUGGAAACAGGUGCUAAUACCGUAUAACACUAUUUUCCGCAUGGAAGAAAGUUGAAAGGAGCUUUUGCGUCACUGAUGGAUGGAACCGCGGUGCAUUAGCUAGUUGGUGAGGUAACGGCUCACCAAGGCAACGAUGCAUAGCCGACCUGAGAGGGUGAUCGGCCACACUGGGACUGAGACACGGCCCAGACUCCUACGGGAGGCAGCAGUAGGGAAUCUUCGGCAAUGGACGAAAGUCUGACCGAGCAACGCCGCGUGAGUGAAGAAGGUUUUCGGAUCGUAAAACUCUGUUGUUAGAGAAGAACAAGGAUGAGAGUAGAACGUUCAUCCCUUGACGGUAUCUAACCAGAAAGCCACGGCUAACUACGUGCCAGCAGCCGCCGCAG
rnacentral:rRNA from 1 species